UACGAAGGGGGCAAGCGUUGUUCGGAAUUACUGGGCGUAAAGGGCGCGUAGGCGGCUUACCAAGUCAGGCGUGAAAUUCCCGGGCUCAACCUGGGGGCUGCGCUUGAUACUGGUGAGCUUGAAUGCGGGAGAGGAUAGUGGAAUUCCCAGUGUAGAGGUGAAAUUCGUAGAUAUUGGGAAGAACACCGGUGGCGAAGGCGGCUACCUGGACCGGUUCUGACGCUGAGGCGCGAAAGCUAGGGGAGCAAACAGG
rnacentral:rRNA from 1 species